GAUUUAAAUUUCACGAACCCUAAAUCCACGAUUUUUGAGCCAGGCUGAAAAAACACAACCUUUGCCUGCAAAUCAUGACCAGAUUACCAAAUAACAUCUUAUGUUUUACAUUCACGAUCUCGGAGCCCCUGAGUCCUGGGAGGUCGCUGAUUUGGACGAGAGCAUGAGCAGAUUGAUGCUCUCUUCUUCAUCCUCCAAGAAAGAUUCCUCUUCCUCUUCCUCUCUCAAUGCCUCGGUACCAGCUUCAGCUUCUGCUUCUGCUCCGGCUUUGUCGUCUUCGUCGGUUCCGGGAUGAUAUCUGAGGACUCUGUCAACCAAGUGGAUUAGUUUCUUCGGGAGGCUCUGCAGAAUCCGCGUGAGCGGCUGUCAAGAAGAGAUGCAUGACAUUCAAGAGCAAAGUACCCAUAACUCAUUGAGUGCUUGAGAAGGGAUCAAGUUAUGUUCAAGGUUUGGGAUAUGGAUCACAACUUAUGCGUUCGAGUGCAAUUGAAUUUCCUAAUGAAGAGACAAAGAAGUUGCGACAUUAGAUCAUAGAGUUAUAGAAGUUGAAGAUGACAACUACCACUCAAAGGAGUUGAAGGCAAUGAUAUAGAGUUUCAUGCCACAACAAACCAAUACUUCUUACUAACUACCACCUCAUUUUGGCUUAGCUUCCCAACCAUCACCUUCACUAUCAAGUUGACAUUAUUGUGUGGUUUACUAUUAUAUGUUAGUCAUUUUUAUUUUA